rnacentral:rRNA from 1 species
UACGUAGGGUGCAAGCGUUAAUCGGAAUUACUGGGCGUAAAGCGUGCGCAGGCGGUUAUGCAAGACAGAUGUGAAAUCCCCGGGCUCAACCUGGGAACUGCAUUUGUGACUGCAUGGCUGGAGUGCGGCAGAGGGGGGAUGGAAUUCCGCGUGUAGCAGUGAAAUGCGUAGAGAUGCGGAGGAACACCGAUGGCGAAGGCAGCCCCCCUGGGCUGACACUGACGCUCAGGCACGAAAGCGUGGGGAGCAAACAGG